CGGAAUAUUCUGAAUAUGUUAAAAAUAAAACCUUUUCAACAGGAAAUAAGGUGGUUAACCAAAGUCAUACGAUCGACCAGUUACAAUUACAGAAUACAACACCAAUAAUCUCAAAGGAAUUCGAUUCCUCUUUACAAAGACCCGAGACGUUGCCGAGAAGAAACAUUUCAUGGAAAAGGCAUCGACGUCGGCGGUACGAUUAUGAAGAUUCACAUGACUGGAAUUACGAUUUGGAAGAUUUAGAUUACGAUGAAAAUGACAAAGAAGCAAUGAUAUCUGUCAUAACGAAGAACUGGAAGACGCUGCUAUUCAAAGCAUUUGUUUGUCUGUGUUUUUUCUGCUUUAUAGUUUGCUGUUGUUACAUUUGUUGUAAGAACAUGUGUCGGACCAUCUGUGCCUUCCUUGGUCUAUGCUUUUCUAACUGUUUCAAUAUAUGCAGACUAUGUGGAUGUAUCAAGGACGAUCCAGCUUACAACCAGAUGAAAUUUAUAUGCAAAGCUAUGGGAAUGGAACUGGACUAUAAGACAUACCUUAACAUGAAGAAAAGUCUUGAAGAGACAAUUAUAGAACAGGGCUCUGAUCCUAACAACUUAGAAAAAUUGGCGGGCUAGAUACUACAAGAAUAGUAAUUCAGCAAAGCUAAAGGGAUACUAGAGCAAAUGUAUAGAUUGACACAGAGAGCUGCAUUCGAGGCACAUGAAAUACAUGUACUUUAGCAAACAAAUAAAAAAAAAAACAUUAGAAUAAGACAAAACCAGUUAGGAAUGACAACGAGAAACUGCGAAAACAUGAACUUUUGAAAAUAAAAUGAUUAUAGGAGUAAGCAAA